GGCGGGUGCGGGGCGCGCGUGCACGUGUGCGUGUGCCUGCCGGGUUGCUGCGCCGCGGGCUGCGAGUGCUUGUGACCCGCCGCACCCUCACCCCCGGGCGCGCCAUCCCUGCUCCGCCGCCAGCGAGGGAGCCCCGGAGCCUAAGACGCCCGGACCCGCCGCCUCGCAGACCCACCCUUGCCCCUGCGCCUCGUCAUCCGCCCGCCCCAGCCAGCCCGCGCAGGGUCCGCGGCCCGCUUUUCCGCGAGAAGCCCCCUGUGGUCUUUCCUCGUACCCGGGGACUCGGACCGAGAAGCCGACUGAGCGAGGUCGCCGCCCGGCCUCACGGACACAGAGCGACUCUGCACCUUUCGCCUCCAGGAGCUGAAAACAUUUUGUCACUUGUGCAGUGUACUCACCAGUGCCCCCAACAUCUUCUCCCCCGAAAGCGCUUUCAGAUUCGCGCCGAGAUGGGGCGACGCGGCGGCUCUUGAGCGGAAUAACCCGAAGGGCCACGCAAACUGGGGCUUCCAGCCGCGAGCAUGCGGCGGGGCGCCCAGGGCCUGGGGUCGCGCGCUCAGGGCCUGUGCUGCGCCACGCAGGAGGAGGAGAGGGCUGGCCCUGCCGGGCGCGGGUGCGGGCCCGACUGGCUGAAGGAGGAGUGGGGACUGGCUUGGAAGUCUCCGAAGCAGAAAAGUGGGGCCGACAGGAUGGAAUUGGGGGAGGCCGAUUUUGGCUCAGAGAGAUUUCUCUAUUAAGGAAAGCAGUCCAAGAAUAGGCCCCCUGGAAGAGGAAUGCGCUCAAACCCAGAGGGAUUCUCCUUAGAGCUACCUCUUGAGAUUCUGUACUUCGAGGAAAUUAGAGGUUUUUUUAAAUCUCUAUUUUUAAUAAGGUGGGAGGAGGCUGUUGCUCCUUUCUCCUCAACAACAUGAAAUGAUCCUGUGCCUCUAUCCAACAACUCUACAACAAAGCACUGAAUACUUCCCUGACUGGCACUUUCAUGGCUGUUCAUGGGCAUCUCUUGGUCUAUGACGACGAUGUUGGAGAGUUCCUACUCCGUGAUAACUCAGUUCUAAGUGCAAGCAGUCACGUGAAAUGAGCCUGAUAGUCUGCGAAUGAAGAAACUAAAACGAACUAUAUUAUAUACUUCAUAACACAAGACAACGUGCUCGUUUGUUCAUUCUGCAAGUAAAUGCUUAAUGCUUCCUAGGUGGCAGGCUAAAGAAUAUGAUCAUUUUAAAGCAGUCAUGCUUUGAAAAUAAACAACCCAUCCCAGCUGUAAGCUUUUUGAAAGUGUACAAAAUAUGUAAUUGAUGACUCCCUAAAUGGUUUGCAGCUUUGGUAUUUGACUGAAUUGUAAACCAUUAGUUAAACUACAUUUCAGUUAUGCUUUGUAGGAAAAACACUUUCCUAUGCAUUGAAUGUUCUAUAACUAAGGAGCUUAGUAAUCUACUGCUAAAAAUCUCACUGAAAUCUCCAGUUUAAGCGAUUUAAGCAAUUUACAGCUCUUGGCAAAUAUUUGUUUUGGGUUAUAAAACACUUUUUUUCUGACUAGUAAAUUGUUCAUGUUCUUUGUUUCC
rnacentral:lncRNA from 1 species